rnacentral:rRNA from 1 species
GAUGGACGCUGGCGGCGUGCUUAACACAUGCAAGUCGAACGAUGAAGCCCAGCUUGCUGGGUGGAUUAGUGGCGAACGGGUGAGUAACACGUGAGUAACCUGCCCUUAACUCUGGGAUAAGCCUGGGAAACUGGGUCUCAUACCGGAUAGGAGCGUCCACCGCAUGGUGGGUGUUGGAAAGAUUUAUCGGUUUUGGAUGGACUCGCGGCCUAUCAGCUUGUUGGUGAGGUAAUGGCUCACCAAGGCGACGACGGGUAGCCGGCCUGAGAGGGUGACCGGCCACACUGGGACUGAGACACGGCCCAGACUCCUACGGGAGGCAGCAGUGGGGAAUAUUGCACAAUGGGCGCAAGCCUGAUGCAGCGACGCCGCGUGAGGGAUGACGGCCUUCGGGUUGUAAACCUCUUUCAGUAGGGAAGAAGCGAAAGUGACGGUACCUGCAGAAGAAGCACCGGCUAACUACGUG